rnacentral:rRNA from 1 species
GUGGGGAAUCUUCCGCAAUGGACGAAAGUCUGACGGAGCGACGCCGCGUGAGUGAAGAAGGCCUUCGGGUCGUAAAGCUCUGUCAUCAGGGACGAACGGCCGGUGGAGUGGAAAGCCACCGGAUUGACGGUACCUGAGAAGGAAGCCACGGCUAACUACGUGCCAGCAGCCGCGGUAAUACGUAGGUGGCAAGCGUUGUCCGGAAUUAUUGGGCGUAAAGCGCGCGCAGGUGGGAUCUUAAGUCCAUUUUUAAAGUUCGGGGCUCAACUCCGUGAGGGGAUGGAAACUGGGAUUCUUGAGUACCGGAGAGGAAAGCGGAAUUCCCCGUGUAGCGGUGAAAGGCGUAGAUAUGGGGAGGAACACCAGUGGCGAAGGCGGCUUUCUGGACGGUGUCUGACACUGAGGCGCGAAAGCCAGGGGAGCGAACGGGAUUAGAAACCCGGGUAGUCC